rnacentral:rRNA from 1 species
GUAACGAAGGGGAGGCUAGCGUUGCUCGGAAUUACUGGGCGUAAAGCGCACGUAGGCGGCUUCUUAAGUCGGUGGUGAAAUCCUGGAGCUCAACUCCAGAACUGCCUUCGAUACUGGGAAGCUCGAGUCCGGGAGAGGUGAGUGGAACGUGCGAGUGUAGAGGUGAAAUUCGUAGAUAUUCGGAAGAACACCAGUGGCGAAGGCGGCUGACUGGACAUGUAUUGACGCUGAGGUGCGAAAGCGUGGGGAGCAAACAGG